GCAGGCGGGCCCCGGAGGAGGGUCCGGAAGAGGAGGGGAAGGAGGAGGGAGCGACAGGGAGGACUGGAGCCAACAGUGGUGAUCCACAGGGGGACACCGGUCCCCCUGCCUCUCCUGAGGGACUUCCCUGCUGCUGCAGUGGUUAAGAAUAUGCCUGCCAAUACAGAGGACAUGGGUUUGAUCCCUGGUCUGGGAAGAUCCCACAUGCAUGGAGCAACUAAGCCAGUGCACCACAACUACUGAGCCGGCGCUCUAUAACCCACGAACCACAACUACUGAGCCCGUGUGCCACAACUACUGAAGCCCGCAUGCCUAGAGCCCGUGCUCUGCAACAAG